rnacentral:rRNA from 1 species
AUACAUGCAAGUCGCGCGGGCGGAAGGGGAGCUUGCUCUCUGGAAGCCAGCGGCGGACGGGUGAGUAACACGUGGGCAACCUGCCUGGCAGACGGGGAUAACGCCUGGAAACGGGUGCUAAUACCGGAUAGGCAGCAGGGAGGCAUCUUCCUGCUGGGAAAGGCGCUACGGCGUCACUGCCAGAUGGGCCCGCGGCGCAUUAGCUAGUUGGUGAGGUAACGGCUCACCAAGGCGACGAUGCGUAGCCGACCUGAGAGGGUGACCGGCCACACUGGGACUGAGACACGGCCCAGACUCCUACGGGAGGCAGCAGUAGGGAAUCUUCCACAAUGGGCGCAAGCCUGAUGGAGCAACGCCGCGUGAGUGAAGAAGGCCUUCGGGUUGUAAAACUCUGUCUUCUGGGACGAAUGGCUAUGAGAGGGAAUGCUCAUGGAGUGACGGUACCAGAGGAGGAAGCCACGGCUAACUACGUGCCAGCAGCCGCGGUAAUACGUAGGUGGCAAGCGUUGUCCGGAAUCACUGGGCGUAAAGCGCGCGCAGGCGGCCGUUUAAGUCUGGGGUGAAAACCCGGGGCUCAACCCCGGGAGGGCCUUGGAUACUGGAUGGCUUGAGCAUCGGAGAGGCAAGGGGAAUUCCACGUGUAGCGGUGAAAUGCGUAGAGAUGUGGAGGAACACCAGUGGCGAAGGCGCCUUGCUGGCCGAUAGCUGACGCUGAGGCGCGAAAGCGUGGGGAGCAAACAGGAUUAGAUAC